rnacentral:rRNA from 1 species
CAGUAGCCGCGGUAAUACGGAAGGGGCUAGCGUUGUUCGGAAUUACUGGGCGUGAAGCGCACGUAGGCGGCUUUGUAAGUUAGAGGUGAAAGCCCGGAGCUCAACUCCGGAAUUGCCUUUAAGACUGCAGAGCUAGCAGGUGAGAGAGGUGAGUGGAAUUCCGAGUGUAGAGGUGAAAUUCGUAGAUAUUCGGAAGAACACCAGUGGCGAAGGCGGCUCACUGGCUCAUACUGGACGCUGAGGUGCGAAAGCGUGGGGAGCAAACAGGAUUAGAUACCCCAGUAGUCCCUGUCUCUUAUAC